CGCUCAGGGACGGGGGGCUGCCUCUCCCUUUCCUUAGGUUUCAAACCUGGCUCUGUGGAGCAAGGCAAGGACAGGCUUUGGACACCCCAGACCCCGCACGCUCAAGCUCUUCCAAGCCACCGUUGGGGGUGCCCAUGACGCAGUCGGCCAGCAAGAAAAGGGACCAAGAGGAGGCCGGAGCAGGCCCUGGAUCCGGACUCGAGGCCUUGUCGGCGGGGAACUGCGGAGUCUUCAAGCAUGAAAACUACUUCCAGCUAAAUGUGCACACACGCCAGUACAGCCGAAAAGUGACUCUGCAGAACCCGGAGCCCUAAUCACUUUUCCACAUGCGCCUCCGGCCCGGCGCGCGACGGGGAACGAGCUGGGAGCGCCCGCGCAGCCAGGAGGGGGGCUGGGCCGCGGGAACGCUGUCCCCCUCCCAGGCUGGAAGGCGGGGAUAAUUCCCCCUGCCGUGCAGCCCUUCUAGACGGCGUCUACCCCUUUAAGAAAAAUCUAGGCGGAGGUGGGGUGCGACAGAAGGGGUGGUGAGGCGAGGGUUUCCCUCCCUCCGUCUGCUAUACCCGUCUCCCUCGCUCCGUCUCACUCUCCGUCUUUCCUCUCCUUCUUUUCCUCUGUUUUUCUUUUCUUUCAACACAAAAGUUGGGUUGUGAAUUUUCCGAGGUCGCCGCCGCCUCGCCCCCACCCCCCGCCUCUGAUCUGCCUAACUAUAAUUAAAGUGCGUUUUUUGUGGCAUUAAUAAAGAGUUAUUUGUCCGCCGUUUCCACGGUCUUCACAAAGAGUACUUUCAUAGGGGCGGCCGCUCGGGCCGCGAGUCCAAUUUAUACAAAAAUGUUGUAUUUUUAGCCCUGGGCUCUGUUUAGAUGGCGCUCGGUGGAAACGGAGAGCCCUUGGAGGUCCCCCCGUAAAAUCUGAUAAAUGACUCCGAAAAAAUAACGCUGGGAUUCAGAGGGCUCUCAUUAACCCCUUAGGCGCUCCUGUACACGUACCCCCUAUUUCCCUCCUCACCUCCAGAUCUAGGGCCCCGGGUUGGAGGGAUGGGGAGGCUUAGGUUUCCUCCUCCCUAACUUCUGUGCAGGUUGGACGCUGACCCCCAGGGGCUCUUGUGGGAUUCGGAGAAAAGGUCAUGGGGACCUGAGGGGGGGCAGAGAGGUCAGGAAACGAAGUGGGGGUGGGUGGUGACAGACCGUGGAUUCAGCAGACUGGCUCUAAAAGGCGGGAGCCGUUGCCCAAGUUAUUUUAUUUCCUAAAUUCGCGGCCCAAAGCCUAGAGCACCGCUGCAGUUGACACUUUAAGUGUGGUGGCGAGGGAAAGGCUCUGGGGAUUUCUUUGCGGGGGGUGGGGGGGUGAUACAUCCAUUGGUUGAAAGGACCCCCACCUCAUUGCACGAACAACCCCAAAAAGAGAUGGGCCUAAUCCGGGACGUGGAAAGACCACAGGGCAGAGGAACUUCGAACCCCCUCCCCGCCCCCGCUCCGCUGUCACUCGUCCCGGGGCAGGGUGAGUGCGUGUGUGCGCGAGCGCGCGGAUUGCACGCGUCUGUUAAUUUCAAGCCAAGCUUUCGCACCUGUAAACCCACAGGUCGCAGCGCUCACCUUUCGCUUCACCUCUCUAGUGCGGGGAUUGUCAGUUUCAGGACAUCCCUGCUUCCCCUAACAGAACAAACGCGCGUACACACAAAUACACCUCCCGCAGUUACUGCAGAGGCGCUCCGCUCCCCCACCCCAAGAAGAAAACCGGUGUGUAUCACAUUGCAAAAGCGAUUGUCUGGCACUUGAUGAGGUGAACUCCAGGUUAAUCUCCCCAUUACCUACCUGGGUCUGGUCCCUGACGCGCCUCACCCCCGUUAUCACCAGCAGAGUGGGGUUGUGCGGCAUCUAACAAGCACACACGCACUCUCUCUCUAUGGAUCCCACACUCACCUCUCCCAAGUUUCCCUCUCCUGCCAAACUGUCCCCACCCAAUAAGUAAAUAGACCCUUUUCCCCGAAAGCCUAGAGCCCUGGAUUCUCAUUUUUCCUUGGGUUACCUUCUUCCUCUUCCACCACAAAACAGACACACUCGCGCGGACCGCGGACCAGGGACACUGUACCUGGCGCUGCCGACGGCGCCGCAGGAACACAGUUUUAAAUCGGCAAUUCAAGCUGCCACCAGCCCCCUCCUCUCCCGACUCAAUUUUCGGCUCCCAGCGACACAGCCAACCCCAGAAAGCCGAGGGCGACUGGGGGCUUGCAGCACCGAGGGGAGGCGAAAGCGGCUCAGGACCGGACCCUCCCCCGGGACCGCGCCUCGCUAGGCGCCCCCGGGGCGCUCCACGCCCCCUGCCAGGCCAGCCGCGACCCAGGCAAGUCCAUCUUGGGAGCCCCCUCAGGUCCGGGAACCCCUCUUACCAGCCCCCUGAACCUGCGCCGCGGGCGCCAGUGGUCCCGGAACCGCGCUGCCGGCGGGCUGGGGAAGCCCGGGCUGCUGCGGCAGAGAGGAGGGAAGGGGCGGGGCGGGGACCAGUGCCUUCAGGCUCCCGGCGCCCCCUGGCCGGCCCGCCGCUCCGUCUGCCCCGCG
rnacentral:lncRNA from 1 species